rnacentral:rRNA from 1 species
UUAGCUUGCUAACUUGAGACCGGCGCACGGGUGCGUAACGCGUAUGCAAUCUACCUUAUACUAAGGGAUAGCCCAGAGAAAUUUGGAUUAAUACCUUAUGGUUAAUUGGAAAGGCAUCUUUCUAAUUAUAAAGAUUUAUUGGUAUAAGAUGAGCAUGCGUCCCAUUAGUUAGUUGGUAAGGUAACGGCUUACCAAGACGAUGAUGGGUAGGGGUCCUGAGAGGGAGAUCCCCCACACUGGUACUGAGACACGGACCAGACUCCUACGGGAGGCAGCAGUGAGGAAUAUUGGUCAAUGGACGGAAGUCUGAACCAGCCAUGCCGCGUGCAGGAUGAAGCAUCUAUGGUGUGUAAACUGCUUUUGUACGGGAAGAAAAAAAGCUACGUGUAGUUUACUGACGGUACCGUAAGAAUAAGGAUCGGCUAACUCCGUGCCAGCAGCCGCGGUAAUACGGAGGAUCCAAGCGUUAUCCGGAAUCAUUGGGUUUAAAGGGUCCGUAGGCGGCCUUAUAAGUCAGCGGUGAAAGUUUUUGGCUUAACCAAAAAAUUGCCAUUGAUACUGUAGGGCUUGAAUUAUUGUGAAGUAGCUAGAAUAUGUAGUGUAGCGGUGAAAUGCUUAGAUAUUACAUGGAAUACCAAUUGCGAAGGCAGGUUACUAACAAUAUAUUGACGCUGAUGGACGAAAGCGUGGGUAGCGAACAGGAUUAGAUACCCUGGUAGUCCACGCCGUAAACGAUGGAUACUAGCUGUUUGGGCGUAAGCUUGAGUGGCUAAGCGAAAGUGAUAAGUAUCCCACCUGGGGA